AUUGCUUCUCGGCCUUUUGGCUAAGAUCGAAUGUAGUAUCUGUUCUGGUCAGCUUAAUAUUUAUUUAUUUCAGAAAUAACAUGUCAGAGAGAGAGCUAAAGCUACCUCUC
rnacentral:snRNA from 1 species